rnacentral:rRNA from 1 species
UACGUAGGCAGCGAGCGUUGUUCGGAGUUACUGGGCGUAAAGGGUGUGUAGGCGGUCUUUUAAGUUUGGUGUGAAAUCUCCCGGCUCAACCGGGAGGGUGCGCCGAAUACUGAGAGACUUGGAGUGCGGGAGAGGAAAGUGGAAUUCCUGGUGUAGCGGUGAAAUGCGUAGAUAUCAGGAGGAACACCGGUGGUGUAGACGGCUUUCUGGACCGUAACUGACGCUGAAACACGAAAGCGUGGGUAGCAAACAGG